GAAAGUAGGAAAGGGCGCAUGGCGGAUGCCUUGGCUCUCGGAGGCGAUGAAGGACGUGAUAAGCUGCGAUAAGUCACGGGGAGGUGCAAAUAACCUUUGAUCCGUGAAUCUCCGAAUGGGACAACCCGAUAUCCUGAAGGGAUAUCACCUCAUCUAGUUGAGGAGCUAACGCAGGGAACUGAAACAUCUUAGUACCUGCAGGAAAAGAAAAUAACAAUGAUUCCCCCAGUAGUGGCGAGCGAACGGGGAAUAGCCCAAACCGUUCAUGUUACGGCAUGAUCGGGGUUGUAGGACUACGUCGUUGCAUGAAGACAUCGGAGAAGAACUUUCUGGAAAGGAAGACCAUAGAGCAUGACAGUUGCGUAUUCGUAUGUUGUCGAAGCAUAGUAGUAUCCUGAGUAGCGCGGAGCACGAGGAAUUCUGCGUGAAUCUGCCGGGACCAUCCGGUAAGGCUAAAUACUCCCGAGAGACCGAUAGCGAACCAGUACCGUGAGGGAAAGGUGAAAAGCACUUCGAACAGAAGAGUGAAAUAGUUCCUGAAACCGUGCGCCUACAAGCGGUCGGAGCUGCUUAAAGCAGUGACGGCGUGCCUUUUGCAUAAUGAACCUACGAGUUGCCUUUGCCGGCAAGGUUAAGUGUGACGACACACGUAUCCGAAGCGAAAGCGAGUCUGAAGAGGGCGUAUAGUCGGCAGUGGCAGACGCGAAACCAAGUGAUCUACCCUUGGCCAGGUUGAAGGCUGGGUAACACCAGCUGGAGGACCGCACCAAUAAGCGUUGAAAAGCUUCUGGAUGAGCUGAGGGUAGGGGUGAAAGGCUAAUCAAACUUGGAGAUAGCUCGUACUCCCCGAAAUGCAUUUAGGUGCAGCCUUGUGGGUUACUGAUGUGAGGUAGAGCGACUGAUAAGAUGCGAGGGCUUCACCGCCUAUCAAGUCUUGACAAACUCCGAAUGCGCAUCAGUUCUACCGCAGGAGUGAGGGCAUGGGUGCUAAGGUCCGUGCCCGAGAGGAGAAGAAUCCGGACCACCUGCUAAGGUCCCGAAAUGACAGCUAAGUUAAACUAACGAAGUCUGACUGCUAAGACAGCUAGGAUGUUGGCUUGGAAGCAGCCAUUCAUUUAAAGAGUGCGUAACAGCUCACUAGUCGAGGAGUCUGGCGUGGAUAAUAAUCGGGUAUUAAGUUGUCUACCGAAGCAGUGGGAUCAUUGAAAUGAUCGGUAGGGGAGCAUUCCAGUCAGCGUCGAAGGCGUACCGCGAGGUAUUCUGGAGCGUCUGGAAAAGCAAAUGUAGGUAUAAGUAACGAUAAAGGGGGCGGGAAACCCCCUCGCCGAAAGACUAAGGUUUCCUGAUCAACGCUAAUCGGAUCAGGGUAAGUCGGGUCCUAAGGCUCAGCCGAAGGGCGAUGCCGAUGGCAGAAACGGUUAAUAUUCCGUUACUACCUCCAGGAGUGAUGUGGAGACGCAGUAGUGACAAUGCCGCCAUCUGACGGAAUAGAUGGUUGAAGGGUGUAGAUGUUGAUCUUGGCAGGCAAAUCCACCAUGAGAAUCGAACCUGAUAGUAUGCCGCGUCCCUCGGGACAAGGCAAUAGUGCAUGUAAUCAUGCUGCCAAGAAAAUCCGCUAAACAAAAUCCUGUAGGUACCCGUACCGUAAACGGACACACGUAGUCGGGAUGAAUAUUCUAAGGCGCUUGAGUGAUUCACGGUUAAGGAACUAGGCAAACUGACCCUGUAACUUCGGGAUAAAGGGUCCCUACCCGGUGACGGGAGGGCGCAGAGAAUAGGUCCAGGCAACUGUUUAACAAAAACACAGGGCUGUGCUAAAUCGAAAGAUCCUGUAUACAGCCUGACACCUGCCCGGUGCUGGAAGGUUAAGAGGAGACGUCAUCGUUGAGAGAAGCGUUGAAUUGAAGCCCCAGUAAACGGCGGCCGUAACUAUAACGGUCCUAAGGUAGCGAAAUUCCUUGUCG
rnacentral:rRNA from 1 species